UACGAAGGUGGCGAGCGUUGUUCGGAAUCACUGGGCUUAAAGAGCACGUAGGCGGCCCAUCAAGUACUUUGUGAAAUCCCAUGGCUCAACCAUGGAAUUGCUUGGUAUACUGUUCGGGCUUGAGGCAGGUAGGGGCAUGUGGAACUCUUGGUGGAGCGGUGGAAUGCGUAGAUAUCAAGAGGAACGCCGGUGGCGAAAGCGAUAUGCUGGGCCUGUCCUGACGCUGAGGUGCGAAAGCCAGGGGAGCAAACGGG
rnacentral:rRNA from 1 species